GCUCUGUUGUUUAUCUGGGCAAAGAGAGACCUCUUGUGGUGAUUCCUAACCUAGCAUGUUGUUUACGUUUUACUUGAAGUCUCGAGUCAGUUCAAUGUCUCUCGGUGAAUUAAGUGGACUGAAAUUUUCUCUCUUGAUUUAAUUUGGUCAGAAAACACGUUUGCCUAUGCACCUAAGGACAUCAAGAAAAAGACAGUUUUCUGGAAGUGCCUGCAGUGAUUCAGACAUCUCGCACUACAGCGAUGUAGACUAUGUGCCCCAGAUCAGCUCAGAUGAAUCAGAUGACAGUGCUUCUGGACAGGACAUCGCAGAGAGCAGUACAGUUGGCAUUUGUAAGGCAGGUAGUUCAUCUGAAAAAUGCAUGACAUCACUCUCAUCAAAAAGGAUAAAAGGCCAAACUAAAGAUAAAGACGCCUCAUUUGACAAAUGGACAUUUGUUCAGGCAAUGCCAACACCGAAGAAGAACCGCAAAUCAUAUAGAAAAAACAGUGUUGCAUUUAUUGCUCUAAGCCAUAUUCAAAAUUGGCAGGACAUCUUGAGUUUGUCCAUCGCAAUCGCGAGGUGGAGGUUGCAAAGGCUGUAGCAUUUCCAAAACAUUCGAAACAACAGUGAAUCCAGUUAAAUCUUCUUCGAAAAAGGGGAAACUUUGCCCACAAUACAUCUGUGGUAAGAAAAGGUCAUGGGGAGAUGGUUGCCUGUUAACGUCCUAAAAAGAGCAAAAAUGCCAAAGAAUUUAUUCACUGUAUUUACUGUCAGGGGCUUAAGAAAAUUCUUUCUGUGAUGAACUAUGAUGAAGUUUCACGCACUAUUCACAGUGACACAAGCAUCAUGCAGCUGGGAGAGCACAUGUUCAACAGGAUGGGAUCUGAUGUGACCAAACAUGACUACAUCAGACAGAAGAUCAGAGAGGUUGGUAGACUUCUUCUUGAAGCAAGAAAGACUACGCCAAAGAGAACCAUGGUGCACUUCAUAAUACCAGCAAACUUUAAACAUGUGAUAUCAGCUGGGAAAACUGUUUCUGGCUUUGAUGAAGAGACAAACACAUACCGCAUUCCUUCCUUAGCUCUAAAACUGGGACACUCUUUGAGCAAGAUAUGCAGCAUUGUCGAGAGUAAUGCCAUGAUCUAUGGUGAUCAUGAGCAAGCAGAGUAUGCGAGGAACUUUCGUAAAGUACACCAAGCAAGGUGGAAUGAGUACAUCUCUGCUGGUGCUUUAACCACACUGAAAGAAGCCAAGUGGAAUGCACCACAGAUCAUUCCAUUUACCCAGGAUGUCAAAGUCCUGUAAGCACAUCUUGUAAAGAAACACGAGGAAGUACUAAAUAAACUCCAAAACAGUCCCUCUGCACACAACUAUGCUGCUCUUGCCAAAGUCACACUGUCCCAAGUCAUCCUGUUCAAUAGACGAAGAGAAGGUGAGGUGCCACAAAUGCUUUUGUCAGCUUUUCAAAGCCGGGAUUCUCCUGAGCUACAUGAACACAUAGCCAUCUGUCUUUCUGAAUUUGAGAGGAAGUUGUGUAAGCACUUCACCAGAGUGGAGAUUCGUGGUAAACGGAGUAGAAAGGUUCCUGUGCUCCUAAAGCCUUCAUUGUUUUCUGCCAUGGAGCUGCUUGCUGAAACACGUGAGGUUUGUGGCGUGCCAGCUGAGAAUCCCUUCAUGUUUGCUAGAUCUGGAGCAAUGUCUGCCUACAGAGGAGGAGAGUGCAUAAGGAGAGCUGCAUUAAGAAUCCCGAAGCACUCUCAUCAACUAGGCUCAGGAAAAACAUCGAUGAGAAUGAAGCAGAUCAGCUGAUUUCCUCGGUCACGAUAUCAGAAUACACAGACAGUACUACCGGUUACCAGAGGGCACUUUGCAGCUCGCAAAGAUGAGCAAAGUCUUGAUGGCAAUGGAAAAAGGGACACUGUCAUAAUUUAAAGGAAAGCGGCUUGAUGACAUUGAAAUUGACCCUAAUGAGCAACUUGAGGCACAAGAUGAUGCCAUGUCCAGUGAUGAGGAGGAUGUAGAGGAAGAGAGCUGCAGUGACUUCCCUCAGACAACAACACCAGCGGACACUGAUCAACAAUCUGUUUCACUGAGACAUCAAGGUUCAUCAAUCCCUUCAAAAAGAAAAUGGGAGGACUCUUAGGUAAAAGCAGUUGAAAAACAUAUGAUGAAUUUCAUAAAGACCUGCAGAGUUCCUGGUAAGACUGUGAGAGAUGCAUUAAAGCAGUCAGAAGCCUUAAAGGAACGAACAUGGACUGGUGUGAAAAAUUAUGUGCGGAACAGGAUCACAACUUAAAAAAAAAGAGGUGGAUUUUAGAGGCUACAUUGCCUUUAACUGUAAAGUGAAGAUUAUGUUGAGGAAAAUGUUAAAAGCAUUAAUACCAUUUGUACCAUAUCAAACUUUAAUAACUUUGUAUGGCCCUGUUAUACCCCAUUUAAACACUUUCCACAUCAUGCUCAUAAUUUGCAAGAAAUUAGAUAAUAAUUAAGAGGUAUUAAGAGGAAGAAUUGGUUUGAGGAUGGAAUGAAGUGAACUAGACAGGAGAAGAGAGGGGAGUAAAUGUAACAUUGAAGUGAUGGAUUCUGAGAAAGGAUGAAGAGUCUAGAAAACACUUUUUAUUAUACCAACUUUUUAUUUUUAUUUUUUUUGUUCAGUUCAUUUUAGCAUGUUGCCUCUGCUAUUCCAGAUGUGCACUUUCACAAUGUGUGAAUAUUGUUUAUUUGAUCAGUAAUAGAGUUAGAUCACAUGGAUCAGCAGAAGUAAAGGGAUGAAAGAGGGAGGAGUGUAAGUAAAGGGGAAGAAAAGGAGCAGCCAAGGUAAAGCAAAAUAAAGAGGGAGGAGUGUAGGUAAAGAGGUGUGUUUGAGUUUAUCUAUAGUAGUCUUCUAGCUGUGUUUCUGAAUGCAGAUCAGUACAGUGAACACCAGAACACAAUAGAACACACUUGAUGGUUAUUGUUGAGUGAGAAUGAAGUGCUGUCAUGAAGGCCUGCACAGCUGGUUUGAGGACAGCAUAAGCGUCUGAUCUGAGUAGUUGAUCUGUUCUUGCUCUUGCUGUAGUUUGAUGGCACAUGUGAUCACAAGACGGCUGCAACUACAAUCAAAGUCAGUCCAAACAAAAUGAUCUAAAAGCGUUUGUUAGGAGGUACUCAGGGGUGUAAAGUAAACUAGGUAGGGCUGGGAUAAACGAUUAUUUUUCAAACGAUUAAUCUAGCCAUUAUUUUUUCGUUGCAUCAUUUAAUCUAACGAUUCAUUUUUUCAGACCAAUUCGAUUUCGAUUAUCUCCCCAUUAAUUGACCACUAACAAUUUAUACAUGUUGAUUUACAUAUCUGAAUGAAACAAACAUGAAUUCCUUAACAUUGCAAUAUAUGUUUA